rnacentral:lncRNA from 1 species
CAGGGCACAGCCAUUGUGUAGUUGCAGAGAGAACAAAUACUGUGCAAAAUAUAUGGGGAUUUUGUAUGGAUUAUCACAUGUGAAAGCACCAAAAAAGGAACAAAUUACACAGUAUAAUGUUUAGGAAGACUCUGCUUCAAACAACCAAGAAUUAUUAUACCCCAUGAUGUGAAGCAAUGACCUGGGCCACACACUGUCCCGAUUUACCGCUUUCGGAGAGCUUCCACGAUGUGACGUCACAAAGAACUUGGCUCACUUUCUGAUUUGAGAAGGUGGAGUCCAGAGUGUGCGAGUGUGCAAGACGAGAGGCUCAGUUUCAUCAAGCCAUUCUUCACACUCGGUCACGCAGAGGGGAGGGAAUAAUAGUGUCAGUGUGCGUGCAGCCGCGUCUCUUGUGCUGACCUCACUCUGCGGAGGGACGGGUGUCAGACGUCUGCGUGUGAAGAAAAAGACGAAGACAUAAAGUCUGGCCUUGGUGGACUUCUUGGAAUCUUACUGAGAGACAUGCUUCCUGGAAAUGUUUUAAAAUUGGUCUUUCUGGGAUUUAUGAGACACAGACGUCCGUCUUUGACGUGGUUAUUGAUGUUCCUGGUGCCUGGGAAGAAGGACUCUGAUGGGGAAGGCGAAAGGUGAGGAUAUUCCCUAGAGCCCGAAAGAAUCCUGCUGACGCAUGUGCUCGGGGGUUUCCAGGACUCGCAGAUAACCCAGAAGCUUUGCUGUCCUCUCACUACAUGCCCUUUCAUCUCUUGAGCCUGAAUGCUUUCUUUGCUUAUGGUGUGAUUUGUGUUGGUGUGUACAGACAAAAUUCACAUUGCUCC